GGGCGCAUAGCUCAGUGGGAGAGCGCUUGCUUCACACGCAAGAGGUCAUUGGUUCAAAUCCAAUUGCGCCCA
rnacentral:tRNA from 1 species